GUUGCGGCCUAGCGAAAGGCCAUGCGCAUCCUGGCCGGCCGCAGGAGCAGAGAAAGGGACUGAGCCGCUUCCGAUGCAGGCGAGAUAACGUCAACCUUUAUUCCAUGCAACCAGCAUACAUAUUUAGCCGACACUCAUGUGACCAAUGACGUCACGUACAAGCAACACUUUACAAUUGUGGGCGACAGCGCCAGAUAACGCGGACACUUGACGCGCAUAGGCGCUAUCACCACAUCUCCCCUUCUUUAAUAAUACGCUGACAGUUGCAACCAACUUAGCAGCACUGCCAGCGAAAGAACAUUUUGCAGAAACAAA
rnacentral:lncRNA from 1 species